rnacentral:rRNA from 1 species
CCUACGGGUGGCAGCAGUGGGGAAUAUUGGACAAUGGGCGAAAGCCUGAUCCAGCCAUGCCGCGUGUGUGAAGAAGGCCUUCGGGUUGUAAAGCACUUUCAGUGGGGAAGAAAGCCUUGGGGCUAAUACCCUCGAGGAAGGACAUCACCCACAGAAGAAGCACCGGCUAACUCCGUGCCAGCAGCCGCGGUAAUACGGAGGGUGCGAGCGUUAAUCGGAAUUACGGGGCGUAAAGCGCGCGUAGGCGGUCUGAUAAGCCGGUUGUGAAAGCCCCGGGCUCAACCUGGGAACGGCAUCCGGAACUGUCAGGCUAGAGUGCAGGAGAGGAAGGUAGAAUUCCCGGUGUAGCGGUGAAAUGCAUAGAGAUCGGGAGGAAUACCAGUGGCGAAGGCGGCCUUCUGGACUGACACUGACGCUGAGGUGCGAAAGCGUGGGUAGCAAACAGGAUUAGAUACCCGUGUAGUC